GAGAUCUGGAAUAACAGAUGAUAAAAUUUUAACAAUCUGUCUUCAUCAUGAAAAGAUUUUUGGUAUACACUUUGAAAAGAAGCACACAAAAUGUUGUAAUUUAUUGGACAAGCAUAAAUCAAAAAAAAAAGCAAUCAAAGGGAGUCAUGUAAUAACAUUAGACAUGGCAAAACAAUUGAGAAUUAAUUUUCCAAAUGUUGUGCCUGGAUAUCAAAUUUGUCGGAGCUGCUUUGAUGCUAUAAUCAGUAAAUUUCAUGAACAAGAUAAUUGUGAAUUUGAGGAAUCUAUUUCAUGUGCUACUUCUGAAAAGUCACGAAUGGCAUUAAAUAUUAGUUUGGAAACAAUAGGUGUAUCCCCAUAAAACUUCAUGGCAUUCCAAAGCAUCAACGGCUAUCUGUUGCUAAAAGUAAAGUUAUAAAAAUAAUGUCAAAGUAUGAAGAGCAUAUUUCAAAAGUAUAUAAUGUUAGGGAAGAAGAACUGAAACAUAAAAUUCCUCAUACGAAAAUUAUUCAC